rnacentral:rRNA from 1 species
UACGUAGGAGACGAGCGUUGUCCGGAGUUACUGGGCGUAAAGGGUGCGCAGGUGGCGGCGCGCGUGGGGGGUGAAAUCGCCCGGCUUAACUGGGCGGGGGCCUUCCAGACGGCGUGGCUUGAGCAGCGGAGGGGAGCGUGGAAUCCGGGUGGAGCGGUGAAAUGCGUAGAGAUCCGGAGGAACACCGACGGCGCAGGCAGCGUCCUGGCCGGCUUGCUGACACUGGAGGCACGAAAGCUGGGGGGAGCAAAACAGGAUUGAGAAACCCUG